rnacentral:lncRNA from 1 species
GGUGUCGCGAGGACCAAGUGGGUGAGUAGACGAGGGGGGCAGGUGCCGGUCCGAAGCCCCCUGUUGUGAUCCUCACUCUUGUCCCCUCACUGAGGUGGACCAAAGGGUGGGGGAAGUGGCCUUGUCAGAGUGAAGGGCUCUUCUCUCCUUUUCCAGGAAGAGGACAGAGGACUCCCCUCCCCAUGGGUCAGGAGCACCCCAGCAGACUUUCGACCACUUCCUGCUCCUCACAAGGGUGGGGCAGGGUCGGCUGGAGAAGCUGGGUCCAGGAAAGGAAGCACAUGUGUCCCCUGCCUUGAAGGUCGCAGGCCGAGGAGGGGAGCCGGGCUGUGGCCAUUCUGCAGAUACUCCCCCAGGAAGGACUCUGCAUGGGUGAGGGGCUCGAGGCGAGGCUGGAGGAGGAGGGGAGGAGACCUCAGGUCAAGGAAUGGGGCUGUGGGGACCUGGGGGUCCACAUGGCUGUCACUCUAUCAGUGGGACCAGGGACGGCUGGUCAGAGUUAGAGAGGCACCUGCCAGAGGACAGUCCCCGGAGGCCUCCCGGUGCCCCAUCACUGGAGAACCAGCUCUGGCCAGGGGCGGAGGAUGGCCCAGACCUCCACCCCAUCCUGAAACCCAGCCCGCUGAGCACGGGGUGGGGAGGGAGAGGAGCUUUGACUUUGGUGGAGACGGAAGUUUUCAAAUGAGCCAGACUAAAUACUGGACUGAGACAGCCCUAAUGGCUGGGCACGGAGGGGAAUGGGCAUAAUUUGGCCAAUGUCUCUAAGGGAGUGGCGAGGUGGGACGGAAUGUAGUUAGGGGGAGUUACAGGGACACAUGAGACCGUUUCCAGCUGCUUUCUACCAAGUGAAGGCCCCUCCAUCCAGGUGACAUGGGUUUACCUGUCUGUGUCUGUCUCUCUGUGAGCUGCGUCUGUCCUUUCCCCAGCAGGGCUAGUGGACCGAGUCUGGCACACAGUAGGCUUUUCAUAAAUUCUAGGAGUGGAUUAAGGAAGGAGCCUGAGUUUUCUAAUCUUGGAGGCUGGGAAGAGGAGUCCCCUGGAGUCCCCAACUCCCUGGGCCGGGUGCCUUCUGCCUCCUGGGGCCUCCCCUGCUGUUCCUGGCUGGAUCCGGUUUGGAGGGGGGAGGCCAGCCCGACACCAAGGCAUCUGCUGGAGGCGUCCUGAAACAGAAGUAAGAGUGUCACCGGCACCAGCGAGAGGCAGCCAGUGCCCCCUGCGCUCUUCAGCCAGCUGGGUGCUGCACCUCUAGGCCAUGGUGGGGGACCCAGCCCCUCCUGAUUCCCUGAUCAUUUUCCCCCCAGAUGUGUGGGCCUGUCCUUCCUCCUUCCUCUUAUCUUGAUCCUGGGGGUUGAACCCAGUGGCCCUUGACCACUGAACCACAUCCCCAGCACUUCUUAUUUUUUAUAUUAAGACAGGAUCUCAGUAAGUUGUUUAGGGCCUCACUAAAUUGCUGAGGCUGGCUUUGAACUCGCGAUCCUCCUGCCUCAGCCUCCCGAGCUAUCGGGUGUCACCACGCCCAACCCUCUCCGCAUCUUCACAGCUCCCAGAACUUGGGUCAGAGCGCACCUUCUCAGCGCCCCCAGCUCUGGGCCUCUCUUGGCCUAAGGGCUCUCAGUCACUGCUGAGCUGCUGUGAUCACCUGGAGGAGCCAGCCCUCCACUCCACCAGAGAGCAUCUUCCUACUGACUGGCCUCUGGCUGUGCCUGGGCAGGGAAACGCCCCGCUGUGCAGAGAGACAAGAGCACCUCCCAGGUCCUCGCCUCUGAUGCUCUGCCUCCGCCAACCCGGCCCCUCUGGAGAGCCACGCCCUGCUCUGCCGGGGGCGCACACGUGGCCCUCCAUCCUCGUGUGUCCUUCCCCCCUGAGCCUGCGUCUGCCCUGGGGAGACUGGAGUCACCGGGGCCCCGACUGCGGCCUGUGAUGGUGCUGCAGGUAUUUUUAGCUUUCUCAUUAACCGAAUGCUUUCAAAUUAGCCUUCUAUUAACCUCAAAGGAAAAUGAAAGUGUGUUUUUUUUCUUCCCAGAGUGAGUCUCUCCUGCAGAAUAUCAAGGUUCCAUGAUUAACGCUUCAUGCGCCUUGAAGCGCUAAUGAAGUUGGAUUCUCUAAAAUCCAACUUGAUGGAAUAAUUGGUCCGUGGUCUCUGCAAUGGCGAAGGAGACGCUGCCAGGAGGGACCGGUCCCCGCCUUCCCGUCUCCCUUUUUCUGUCUCCUCUUUCCUUCCCCGGAGGCCCCCGUGUUCCCACUCCACACUCUGAAGGGGCCAGGUGUCCAGCACCCGCUCCCUGGUCUUAGCUGGGAGGGGUCGCAGCUCCUGAAUGUCGAGUUUCAGGCUGAGACUCAGCGGCUGCCCCUUGGAGAAGCACGGUCUGGUCCUUGAGCCCUGAGCCUGGGUCACAGCAGCCUCUUGACAUUGCCAGUGUCCCUUGAAGUGAGCUUAUCUCUGGAUCAGGGUCCUGGCUGCAGACGGGGACAAAUAGCCUUGCAAUUUCCGAGAGGUGUCAGGCAGCAAGUCGGAUGAGGCCCAUCCCAUCCCCCACAGACACACUCGAGAGGGGAGGUCUGUCCCCAGGGUCACCUGCCCACAGCAGCGAUGGGCCUGCUGGGGGGGCCAAGUAGAGCUGGCUCUCGGAGGACCGUGGGUGCCGCUGGGAGGGGGUGGCUGUCAACAGACAGGAGCAAGCCCCUGACAACCUGUGUCCCUUGUGGCACUGAAGGAGCUCGCAGGGUUGGCCCCAGAGGACUCAGCCACAUGUCCGUUGGUCUAGCCUGUCUGGGCCCAGGUGUGACGUCCCCUGCCUCCCCUGGUUCCAGCCCCUUCCCUGACCUUGCGUCGUCGGGGCUGAUUCCUUGCCACUCUCCUGACCCUCCCUCUCUUGGCACUUGUGAUCUGUGCUUUCUGAAGCCAUCUAGCAAAGAAGGGCUGGAGGCCCUGUAGGGAGGCCCUUGGCCUCUCAGAAUCUCGUUUUCCUUGUGAGCAGCACCAGGAGAGGUUUCUGUCCUGUGCGGGGGCAUGUCACUUGGCCUACAGAGCUGGCUCUCACCAGUGGGGGAGGGGCCGUCCAUAGGGAUUCCCUGACACCCUCCCUUGCCACCCCAGGGGUCAUCUGCCCUCCCCAGGUGACUCACUUAUGCUCCUCUGGAUGUGACCAGAUUCCUGGAGGCCCGAGAAAAGACAACAGGCCAAAGUAAAUGACAGGUCGACAUGGACGAGCUACAUAGUGGACGACUCCUGUGCCACAUGGCCAGUCGCUUCCCACCUCUCUCCUUGAAGGUCCCUCUGUCACUGCAAAACUGAAAUGUCAGAAAGCAAACGCAUCCCUCUGUAUUUCUCAGAGCUAGCAGCAUGACCAUCCACCCAGGCCACACACCUGAGGGUCACCCGAGACCCCUCGGCAGCCCCCCAAUCUUGGCCACACCCCUCUGCUGGCCCUUUGUCCCUGCAGUGAGUCAGAAUCUCACUGCUUCUCUCCAGAGCAGGAUGGUGGCCCUCCAAUUUGUCUUUCUGCCAAAAAGCUUCACCUUGAGUCCAUUUUCUGUUUCACACCCAGGACACUUGCUCUGAAGUGUGCUUCUGAUGGGGCUGCUCCUUUGCUAACACCUUCCAUGGCUCCAGGUUACCUUUGGACGGCUUGGAGUUUCCCAGGACGCGCACUUGCCACUUCUCCAGCCUUCUUCCAGGUCCCUCGCUCACACGCACAUCCGUAUCCCCGAGGCCCACCCACUGCAGGUUCCUGCAUCCCUGGCCAUUUCCCAGGGUGGCACACUGUGUUCUCUCUGAUCACGGUACUCUUUGUUCCUGGUCCACCCAGGGAACUCCUAUCCACCCUACAAGACCUUUCAAAUAUACCCGCCCCUCCAGGAGGUUGUGGUUGCUGAGAAGCUUCACGACAGGUAAUAGAGUCCCUGCGGGUCCCUGCACGUCCCUGCGCGUCCCUGUGCGUCCCCGUGCGUCUCCGCGCGUCCCCGCCGGGUUUCUCCGCCAUCCCAGGUAGCCUACGCGUUGUCCACACUGGGGUUCUGUGGGAUGCAGAGGUGCAGUCGUCACACACUGUCAUUUAGUGGGGGUCCGUCAUCCUCCCAGGGCUUGCAGACAGAGCCAGGCUCCUCGCUGCCUGGAGUCAGGCCGCUGUCCUUGUCCCUGCUUCCUGCCCUUUCUGCCACCUGUCCUCUCUCCUUGGUGCACCUUCCGCCUUGGCAGAAUGAGGCCCUGUGUCGGGUGCGGGUCUCGGAGGCUGGAUUCGCCUUCUAAACCAGAGCCUCCUGUGGUCAUCUGCCACUUCUUACUCCUGUCCUUGACCUGCCCCUCCUCCCUAGUGACAGUGGCAUUUCCUCCUCACUGUCUGCACAUUCUGGUGCCCAGGAGAAGGAGCAUCAGGGCGCUGUGAAGAAUGGCUCCCCCGAGCUCCCACACAACGGCAGCCUGGCUCCUCCCGGCCUGGUCCAGCUCUCCACUCCCCGCCAGGCGCCAGGGAGGAGGGAAGGAGCAGGCCUGGGCCUCACCUGACUCCUCCUCAGCCGUCCAGGCCCUGGGCAGCCGAGGAGGAGUCCUACUGCGCGCAGAGAUGGGUGGGUUUUCUGCUUCUCAUUUGCCGUGGGCCCUUGUCCCUCCCCCACCCUGAGUUUAGUCCACUUGGGCAGGCGGCGGGCAGGUGAGGCUGGUUUGGAACGAGCCUCAUACAUAAAAUCCAGUCUUAGAGCCAGGUGGGGGGUAAUUAGACACAUUUCAAAAGAAUUCUUGGAUUUCAAAAGGCUCCGUGGCAGGGAGCCCAUGAUUAGCCGCUCCCCGGGACACGCCAGGCUGCCUCCUGUUGGCCAGGCCCCCCACCAGACCACCUUCCUGCCCAGAGUUAGGCUUCUCUUCUUUUAGGUUUAAUUGACUCCGUUACCAUGGCCUUUCUCUGAGCCAGGGAAGGAGCUGGGCUGACUGUCUUCAUCUCACAGAUGCGGGGAACUAAGGUGUCCAUUACACAGCCAGAGCUCAGGGAAGAGUGGACCUCGGAGGGCAGAAGCUGUGGCUGUAGCCAGAGUGACCCUUUCCUCCUUAGAGAGAAUCCCUGCUGUAGUGGGGAGAUAACAAGACCAACCACAAGACCCUGUGUUCUGGUUUUCUAAGCAACUUGGCAAAUUCUAUCCAUGAGAUGCGGAAGACCAUGUCCAGUGGAACUUCUGGGUGAACGUCUCCCGGCAAGCAGGCUCAACUAGGAGCUGCCCUUCACACUGUGUGCCUCCCUGCUGCCCGGAAGGUGAUGACUGGAACUUCAGCAGCCAUUUUGGGCCACGUUGAGACCUUGUACUGGCAAUUCUGUGCUAGGCUGGCAGACGCAGAGAGACAGAUAGCAUCUGAGUUCUGACCUCCGCGGAUUUGCCAGCGCUGGACCACUUACCUCUGCAGUUCUUUUACAUAAGAGGAGACAGAAGCUGCCAUCUUGGUUAAGCCACUGUUAGUUUGGCUGCUGUGUUAUACGCAACCAGGCCUAAUCCUAGCUAAGAAGUCAGUUUCGUGACUCUCGUCUUCAAGACUCUGCCACACCCACAUCUUGGAGACAGGUGGAAUAGAGUGUUUUUAUAGGUAAGUUGUAACUGUCCCUCAAUCCAUUGUCUGUCACCCUUUUCCUUGUGGACCCAUGGAUCUAAGUGACCUGGUAGCUAUCAUGAGGGACUCUUAAAUGGGGGUGCGGUGGGUGGGGGAUGUCCAAGACUCUUCUGGGCUACAUUAUUCACUGGAAGCACAGAGAAACACAGUCACCCUGCAGGGCAGUGGGCUUGGUGUCUAAGGGACUAAGUCCACUGCCCUUUGUCUUUGGAUCUUACAUGGCCACGCCCACCUGGCAGGGCUCCUCCCUUCUCUCUCUGGCUGAGACCCAGGUCACUCUCUGCGUUUCAGCCAGCACCCUUCCUGUGCUUAGCAGAUCUGCACCCAGAGGGUUGGUGCAAGAACUUCUUACUGGUGGCUUCUUAUUUGGGCACUUCCAAGAUGGCUCCCUGGGCUCUUGCAGGGGCUGAUGAUCCCAGCCGGCCCCACGUGGGUUUUAGCCGGUGCCAGAUCGCCUGUUCUCUUGCCCACCACACGACUUCCCACUUUUGACAUUUUGUAUUUGCCCACCAAAAAAUAAAUGAGUUGGACUGAUGGCUAGCGUCUCUCCCAGCUUUCGGUCCCUUAGCCUGCCAAGAUGGAACUGGCUCAGUUGCCAGGGCCUAAUAGCUGUCAGCUAGGACGCUGGCCUCCACGCCACCUGCUGACUUGGGGCAGGUGACGGGCACUCCUUCAUGCUCAGGAGCUCUUGUGGCGCACUGCCCGGGGACCCUCUGUUGGAAGUCUGGGUAGGGACGGAGGCCAGGCAAGAGCUGGUUUUAACACUCGAGGCUUCUCCUGAGCUCUCUCACAGGCAGGUGGUGGUCCCACCCGCCGAGGGUCCUGGAAGGCUGGAUCCAAAGGCCACAUCCAUUAGAAAAAGCCACAGGAGUGGAGGUGGCCGCCUUGCUGGGCUCUAAGCGUCUUGGUGGGACAAGAGCCUUCCUGGUUUCCGGCUGGACUUUCAACACAUUUCAGUGCCGAUAUUUGUGGCUUGCCUUUGGGGCCCUGAUGAAGUAGCUCGUGGCUUUUAAUCUAUUGAUUCUUUUCAGAUACUCUGUGCGCCCAGGCUCCUGUUCCGAUGCCUCUUCCCUUUGGCCGGGGACUGUUUCUGCCUCUCGAGAAUGGGUGCACCGUGUCUCUCCCACCCCAAGGGGAGGGAACCAUGGCUGGGGAACUUCCCUGAUUUCCACAUCAAUAAGAGCACAGCACCAUGUCCCUGGAUCCCUGGAUGCUGGCCUGUGGCCUGUUUCACAGAAGAUGUCUGAUCUUAGUUCAAAGAUUCAGGGGAGAGGAUCUGGGUGGACACGAGUUCUGCCUCCACCCUCGGGUCCGGAUGCUCCAGCCUGGUCUCCCCGGGAUACAGCCUGCUACCGCUUUGGCUCUGAUUGACAUCUCCCUGGCCCUGAGGGAGCGCAGGGUCUGCCUUGGACAGGCUUUUUAUGAUGUCUCAGAGUCCUCACGAAAGGAUUUUUUUCUUUAUAAAAGCCGUGCAACGGGAAGGGACCUCAGAGAUCAUCUGGUGCAGAUGAGGAUGAGGAAACUGAGGUCCAGGGAGAUGCUGAGCCAGGUCACAUCACGAUUUGCACAGAUGCCUCACUGAGAACCGGAAUGGGAAACAGGCCUCCCGACUCCUAGGAUUCCUCCCUGGGAGUCUCAUGCUCAGCUCCAGGCUUGGCUGGAGGGUCAGGACGGACAGACAGCACCGUUCCUCUCCACCGUACACUUCCACUGUUCUGAGAAGAAUGACUCUUUCAAAUCGUCAGCCCCGCCAUGGCUCUAAACGUUCUCUGAGCUUUCGUGAGAAGCUUGGAUUCCAGACUUUAAGGAUUCAUCCUGCUAGAGAAUUCUUCCCUGGGGAUCCUGGGCUCAGCUUGGAUACUUGCAAGCCCAGGGCCUGGGCUUGUGAAUGUGCCACGUGAUCAAUGGCCAUGCCACCUGAGAGUACUGGCCUUGGAAUGGGAGUGAGAACCCGACGUCCAUGGCUGGGCUCACCCUGGAGGGCUGGGGAGGGGCCGGGUCAGAGGGGAGCUGAGGCAGGACUAGAGGUCAGGGUCAGGGCCUUCCGCACAUAGAGGCUGGAGUUCCAGGCUGCACCCUGCUGGCGCUUUAUACCUGGGUCCUGGGGCAGAGGGACUCCAGCAAGAUUGACAGUCAUCCCCCGGGUGCUGGGGUGUCUCCUGCACUCUCAGGAGCUUCUGUGGCCACAGGGAUGUGGGAGGGGAUCCCUCUUCUCUGUCCCACCCUGUUUCAGUUAGUAAAGGGGCUUCAGUGGGUGGCCUUGGCCUGGAGACUAAGGGGACAGAGAUACUAGUGGCUGAAGUGGCAGAGGCAGCCGGGAUGUCCCAUGCUGGGUUGCCCCAGAAGUAUUUUUGGGGACAGUGGUUCCAGGAAGCCGUGUUAGGGUCCUGGGGAAAGGAGGUGUCUGGAGGGACAGCUGGCUCUGGGCGUGUUUGGGGCCCACACCCUCAGCUCCAUCCUCUGAGCCCUCUGGGACGGUCAGUGCAUCUUUCCAAAUUGCUCCACCUGAGGGGCCAGCAGCUGGGAUGCACGUUCACCAACCCCCCUGGGGGGAGGUCAAUUCUCUGGCAGGUCCAGUGGCCCAGGGAGGAGCUGGGAACAGGCCCCUGCUUCCAGGAAAACCCUCAGGCGGAGAGCUGGGCAGGUGUGGGAGGGCCCAGGCCUGGCUGUGUGCUCGGGCCUCCUCCCCCCUCUCCUGCCCUCUCUUUCCUGCCUUCUCCUACUUUCUCAAUCUGAUAUGGAGACGCUGUUUUCACCCCCGAGUAGGUGUGACCUGGGGAGUAGGUGUGAGUUUUCCACCCGCUGAUGGGGAACAGACUGGAAGCCAAGAACCUGAGGAUUGGAACGGGUGUGGUCAGGAGCCGUGCUGGCUGGCGGAGAUGCAGGAACAGCCCUGACAAUGCAGAGGGACAGUUAAGGUGCCCUUGUCCUGACGAUGGGCACAGGGUGGGAUAGCCACGGGCCCCCAGAAUCAGCCUGGAAUGAGCCCCCACAUUCCCUUCCUCUGGCUAAGGUGGCCCCUUGUGACGCCCAGGACUCUGAGUCUCUGGAAUGAACAGGACCUCUGGUUAGACUGGGUGGACAUGCAGCGGAGGCAGGAUGAUAACAGCCUUCCUUUAGCUGUCGGGGGUCCGCGCUGUCUGUUUCCGUGGCUCAGGGCGGCCCCUCCUGGGAGCACAGGAGGACGGGAUCCUAACACCACGGAGCAUUCACCAGGAGCGUCCACACUCGCUGGGCACCCAGUGCUCCAGAGCAGGGUCCCGGUGACCACCUGAGGCGCCUGCACUCUGGGAGUGAGGCUCACAGUUUUCCAAAGACAAAUGCAAAGACCUGAGAGACUCACCAGUCACCUCGGGGCUGGGACACCAAACCACCCUGCCGAAGUAGGUUGCCCGGGCUACUUCAUGUCCAGCUUCAUGCUUAGCUGAAAAAGAAAAGGAAGCAAUUAGUUUUUCCUGAGCUCUUUUGACACAAUUACAAAAAAAAAAAAAAUUCUAGAAAAUAAAUCUCGGACAGGAGAGGCGUAUGAACGAGCUGUCUUGUUUGCCCUCUUCCGUGCUCUGCAACCAAUAAUGACGACAAAGACCACGGUGGACUCGGAAAUUCUUUGUGGCCCACAGAAAAAUAAGCAGAGGGAAAUGACGGGGAGGGUUGCGGGCACCCGCGUGGCAGAAACCUGCCCGACACCUAUUGUGUGUGCUGGAGAGCCCCGUGGUGGCUUGGCAGUGACAAGGACAAUGUACAAACCCACUUGAAACCAGCUGGAUUGAAACCCCAUGCAGAACAGAGAAGGCUGGCUGGCCAUCUGGGUGCCCAGACCCGGCCUGGUGUUUCUCCCAAAGCAGAAUCGCCACGCACGUCCGCAGCCGAGGCAGGAGCGGAUUUCUUCCCCAUCUGCAAGUCCCGCAUUCGGGUUGGAUCAGACACCUGUCGGUGACGUAUGUGUCACUCUGGGGUUGCAAGGCCACCUGUCAUGGAGCCUG